GCAUUACAGAUGAAGAGUGUGCAACAUCAACUUUGGUAACCCAUUAUCAAAAUGUGAUCUCUGUUCUACUGGAUGAUACGAUCGAAAGAACAAACACUAUUAUACAAUCAAAAAAUAAUACAUCAUUGCACCGGAACAGAACUGGGCAUAGUAAAGUAAAGUCAAGCGCACGGACAAAGCCUCUGAAGACUUAGAAAACUUCCCAAAGAUACUUGAAAAUCAAGAGCCGAAAGGGAGGGAGGAACUUAAGACAAUUACCAUCACCAAGGAAAAGGUUUGUGAAAUUUUACGGAAAACAAAAGCAUUAAAUUUUACCAGUGAAUCAUAUAAUAACCUGCAG